GACGAACGCUGGCGGCGUGCUUAACACAUGCAAGUCGAACGGAAAGGCCCCUUUGGGGGUACUCGAGUGGCGAACGGGUGAGUAACACGUGCGUAACCUGCCCUUGCCUUCGGGAUAACUUCAGGAAACUGGGGCUAAUACCGGAUAGGAAUCCUUGCUGCAUGGUGGGGGUUGGAAAGCUUCGGCGGUUUUGGAUGGACUCGCGGCUUAUCAGCUUGUUGGUGGGGUAGUGGCUUACCAAGGCUUUGACGGGUAGCCGGCCUGAGGGGGCGACCGGCCACAUUGGGACUGAGGUACGGCCCAGACUCCUACGGGAGGCAGCAGUGGGGAAUAUUGCACAAUGGGCGGAAGCCUGAUGCAGCAACGCCGCGGGCGGGAUGACGGCCUUCGGGUUGUAAACCGCUUUCAGCAGGGGCGAAGCUUGUGGUGACGGUACCUGCAGAAGAAGCACCGGCUAACUACGUG
rnacentral:rRNA from 1 species